rnacentral:miRNA from 1 species
UAUUCAUUUAUCUCCUAGCCUACA